AUGUAGAACGGCUCCGGGUGGCUACUGACAGGAGGGCUAAACUCAUUCGCAGGGGAGUGCCCAAACAAACAAAACAAACAAACAAAAAGUUAAACAGUUUGUCCGCUCGUACAAUCAGCACCAUCAGAGACAACUCGGACCAGGAGCGGACUAACUUUGAAACAAAAACCCUUAAAAGGACAGCAGGCAACGGUACGCAACAGCUGCAGCGUUGAAUUCCCUUACUCAACUGACAGACUUUCCCCGGCUCUACA